rnacentral:tRNA from 1 species
GCGCUGGUGGUUUAGCGGUAGAAUCUCUGCCUUCCAAGCAGAUGGUCCGGGUUCGACUCCCGGCCGGCGCA